rnacentral:rRNA from 1 species
UGGGGAAUAUUGGACAAUGGGCGAAAGCCUGAUCCAGCCAUGCCGCGUGUGUGAAGAAGGUCUUCGGAUUGUAAAGCACUUUAAGUUGGGAGGAAGGGCAGUAAGCGAAUACCUUGCUGUUUUGACGUUACCGACAGAAUAAGCACCGGCUAACUCUGUGCCAGCAGCCGCGGUAAUACAGAGGGUGCAAGCGUUAAUCGGAAUUACUGGGCGUAAAGCGCGCGUAGGUGGUUCGUUAAGUUGAAUGUGAAAGCCCCGGGCUCAACCUGGGAACUGCAUCCAAAACUGGCGAGCUAGAGUAGGGCAGGGGGUGGUGGAAUUUCCUGUGUAGCGGUGAAAUGCGUAGGUAUAGGAAGGAACACCAGUGGCGAAGGCGACCACCUGGGCUCAUACUGACACUGAGGUGCGAAAGCGUGGGGAGCAAACAGG